rnacentral:rRNA from 1 species
AGUGAACGCUGGCGGUAGGCCUAACACAUGCAAGUCGAACGGCAGCACAGUAAGAGCUUGCUCUUACGGGUGGCGAGUGGCGGACGGGUGAGGAAUACAUCGGAAUCUACUUUUUCGUGGGGGAUAACGUAGGGAAACUUACGCUAAUACCGCAUACGACCUACGGGUGAAAGCAGGGGAUCUUCGGACCUUGCGCGAUUGAAUGAGCCGAUGUCGGAUUAGCUAGUUGGCGGGGUAAAGGCCCACCAAGGCGACGAUCCGUAGCUGGUCUGAGAGGAUGAUCAGCCACACUGGAACUGAGACACGGUCCAGACUCCUACGGGAGGCAGCAGUGGGGAAUAUUGGACAAAGGGGGCAAGCCUGAUCCAGCCAUACCGCGUGGGGGAAGAAGGCCUUCGGGUUGUAAAGCCCUUUUGUUGGGAAAGAAAAGCAGCAGGUUAAUACCCCGCUGUUCUGACGGUACCCAAAGAAUAAGCACCGGCUAACUUCGUG